GAUGAACGCUGGCGGCGUGCUUAAUACAUGCAAGUCGAACGGAAAGGCCCUGCUCUUGCGGGGCGCUCGAGUGGCGAACGGGUGAGUAACACGCGAGUAACCCGCCCCUGACUUUGUGAUAACACUUGGAAACAGGGGCGAAUACCGGAUAGGAGCUCUUGCAGCAUGGUGGGGGAUGGAAAGUUUCGGCGGUUGGGGAUGGACUCGAGGGUUAUCAGCCUGUUGGUGGGGUAGUGGCUUACCAAGGCUUUGACGGGUAGCCGGCCUGAGAGGGUGGCCGGCCACAUGGGGACUAAGGGACGGAGCAGAAGCCUACGGGCGGCAGCAGUGGAGAGUAUUGCGGAAUGGGCGGGAGCCUGAUACGGAAGCGCCGCGUGCGGAAUAACGGCCUACGAGUUAUGAACCGAUUUCGACGGAAACAUGGCGUGAGCGACGGUAAUUAGUAAGAAAGCACCGGCUAACUACGUG
rnacentral:rRNA from 1 species